GUAGUAUUCCCUCCGUCCCAAAAUUCUUGUCUUACAUUUGUUUAGAUACGGAUGUAUCUAACACUAAAAUGUAACUAGAUACAUCCGUAUUUAGACAAAUUUAACACAAGAAUUUUGGGACGGGGGGAGUACAAA
rnacentral:pre_miRNA from 1 species